GUUCAAUAAAUAUUUUAAUAUAUAAAUAGAAUAAAUAUGAAUAAAUAGCAAGAAGCUGAGUUUACAUGAUUAUAUGUAUUUCUUUUUUGGUCUGCUUGAAAGUGCAGGUAUUCUAAAAUACUUUUAUUGUGGUAUAGUCAUCUCCUAGGUGACGGGUUUGUUUUUUCACUCUCGAGACUCCACUUGAAUGAUAUUGAUUAGACGUUACUGAUAAUCCUCUUAAGAAAAUGAAUACUAACUUUAUCUAACUCUAAUCUAACUUUUUCUAAAUCUAUCUAUCAUAUUGAAUCAUUUUACCUUUCUUUAUAUCUAUUUUUCUACGGAUUGUUGAAGACCUGUGUUGUUUGAACCUCGAACUCCGGUGUGAUACAAUCUCCUCUGAAGGUCUCAGGAACUAAAGUGGAUCUAACGGUCAAGCAAGGGAAAAAUGUUACUCUCUACUGUGACUGCACCUGGACCUCUGGAUUAAAUCUUAACUGGUAUAGAAACUGCUCACAUUUUAGGCAGCCCUCAUUUGUGAUCUCAACCCAUGCGUUUAUGAAGGAGGCAGAUAAUCCAUCACCCUCCAGCUACCAAUCUAUAGGAGUUGUGGAUGUGUCCCCACCAAAGCUGAGACCAAACCUACGCCCUUGCCUACAAGUUGUCCUUUGAAGAUGCUGCUUCUUUCCCUGCACCUACCUGUCCUCCUCCCCCUGAUGGUGGUCAGCGCUGGUCAUCUUGUAUCCUGUGUGUACUCUACUCUCUGCCCUCAUCUUCUCCACCUGUGUGUACGGCCUCUGCUGUAAGACCGCACCUGUGGAACCUGGUGAGCAUCUGAAAAAGAGAGACACUCAAAGAAGAGAACAGGAUGAAUGCACAGGACAGUGUUGUGCUCCAUUGGAUAUAGCAACCAAAGUAUCCAAAAUAAAACAACAGAAGAAACGGCAUACAAAAUUGGACUUAAGUACCUACUCUGAGUGUGUUCCUACAGAAUGCAAAACUGCAUAGGCCUAAUGGGACUUUGACCACUGUGAUGCACUUAUAUGAGAGGCAAUGGCUAAAUCUUGAUGUCCCCCAUCUAAGCCCUGAACCCUCAAAGACGUAACUGACAUCUGUUGAUAAGUGAUUGAGUUUGAGAGACUGUAAGGGUUCAGACUGCUGAUAACAGGAAUGGGACAGCACCUGUGACAGUGACCUAUCGUAAAUUGACGAUACCAAAAAAUGUUUCUGUUUCUGUUUCCUUUUUAUGGCAGUUGUUUACUGAUGUUUUUUCAAGCUUCCAGCCUCCCUUUCAGUAACUCUGUGUUUCAUGUCACAAUGCUAUGAAUUGUCUGUUGCAUGUCUGUUAGUCUGUGAGGGUGGACUUUGAUAUUUACCGACUAUAUGAUCAGCUAUUACAGUAAGUUUAGUUAAGACAAGAUCAUAGUGUCCUUUUACAGUACACAGAAAUGUGUCUUACUUUACAGGUAUAACAGCAACAUCUACAAAAUCCAUUUCCAUUUUUUUUAAAUCUCUUUUGGAAAAUUCAUGUUUUUAUGUGAAAAAAGUAUGUCAGUGUUAAUGCCACCUUAAGUGAUUUGAUUUCUGUGAAGUAUGAAAGACCAGUAUCUUGUGUAUCACAGCAUAUAUCUGUUAGCUGUACUAAAGACAUGGAUACUGUCUGGCUCUUUCGUCCAGUUCUUUCUGGUAUACUGCAUUGCUUAGCAUUUCAAAAUAAAUAUUAAUGCUCUUUCUG